CCGUUAUCACGAAAUAAACCUUAAUCCCAAAAAUAAAGGGUGCCCCCCGCUCCCACCCCAUGGGAACAGUGCAGUCUGCAAUGGGGGGCGCACAGAAUGGGUCCCCAGAGGGGAUUCCCCAACUUUGGGAUGUGACGCCAUGGUGUAAACGUGGGGGCACUCCCACCUCUGGGACAGACCCCAACUUUGGGGUGUAACAUGUGGGGGUGUCCCCAACUUUGGGGUGUGACACUGUGGUGUGUCCCCAACUUUGGGGUGUGACACCAUCGGGGGGACACAGAGAUGCCCCAACUUUGAGGUGUGACACAGUGACGCGGUGUCCCCACUUCCCCUGGGAAGUCCUCAAGCUGCUCACAGUGUCCCCAACUUUGACGCAAUGCCCCCAGGGGGGUCCUUUUGUCCCCUCAUAGGACAGUGGGAGGCUCAGUGACAGCACCCCCUGGACACCCCAAGACACUUCUGGGACAUCUUCAGACCCUUCCAGAAGACAACAGGACCCUCUGAACCCACCAAAGGACCCCCCAGACCCUCCAAGUCCUCUCUGGGCCAUCCCCAGACCCUUCUGGAUGGCUCCAGGACCCCCCAGACCCACACGAGCACCCCCUGGACACCCCAAGACACUCCUGGGACAUCUUCAGACCCUUCCAGAAGACAGCAGAACCCACCUAAGGACCCCCCGGACCCUCCAAGUCCCCUCUGGGACAUCUCCAGACCCUUCUGGAUGGCUCCAGGACCCCCCAGACCCACAUGAACACUCCCUGGACACUCCAAGACAGUCCUGGGACAUCCCCAGACCCUUCUGGAUGACUGCAAGGAUGCCCUGGACACACCUGGGGACCCCCUUGGACAGGGACCUUCUUGGACAUCUCCAGACCCUUCUGGAUGAAUCCAUGGACCCCAUGGAUCAACAGGAGGACCCCCUGUACCCUCCAAGGCCUCUCUGGGACACCCCCAAACUUUCUGGAUGGCUCCAGGACACCCCAGAACCACAUGAGCACCCCUUGGACACCCCAAGACACUUAUGGGGCAUCUUUAGACCCUUCCAGAAGACAACAGGACCCUCUGAACCCACCAAAGGACCCCCCAGACCCUCCAAGUCCCCCCUGGGACAUCCCCAGACCUUCUGGAUGGCUCCAGGACCCCCCAGACCCACAUGAGCACCCUUUGGACACCCAGGACACUUCUGGGACAUCUUCAGACCCUUCCAGAAGACAACAGGACCCUCUGAACCCACCAAAGGACCCCCCAGACCCUCCAUCCUCUCUGGGACAUCUCCAGACCCUUCUGGAUGGCUCCAGGACCCCCCAGACCCACAUGAACACUCCCUGGACACUCCAAGACAGUCCUGGGACAUCCCCAGACCCUUCUGGAUGACUGCAAGGAUGCCCUGGACACACCUGGGGACCCCCUGCACCCUACAGGGACCUUCUUGGACAUCUCCAGACCCUUCUGGAUGAAUCCAUGGACCCCAUGGAUCAACAGGAGGACCCCCUGUACCCUCCAAGGCCUCUCUGGGACACCCCCAAACUUUCUGGAUGGCUCCAGGACACCCCAGACCCACAUGAGCACCCCUUGGACACCCCAAGACACUUCUGGGGCAUCUUCAGACCCUUCCAGAAGACAACAGGACCCUCUGAACCCACCAAAGGACUCCCAGACCCUCCAAGUCCCCCCUGGGACAUCCGCAGACCUUCUGGAUGGCUCCAGGACCCCCCAGACCCACACGAGCACCCCCUGGACACCCAAGACACUUCUGGGAUAUCUUCAGACCCUUCCAGAAGACAACAGGACCCUUUGAACCCACCAAAGGACCCCCCAGACCCUCCAAGUCCUCUCUGGGCCAUCCCCAGACCCUUCUGGAUGACCACUCAGACCCACACGAGGGCUCCCUGGACCCUCGCAGACUCUACUGGGACAUCUCCAGAUCAGCCCAGAGACCCCUCAGAGCUCCUGGGCCCAUCGUGGGAGCUGCCAGAUACUUCCAGGGGCCCACAGGACCAACCUGGGGACUCCCUGGAUCCUCCUUGGACAUCUCCAGACUCUUCUGGAUGAGUGCAGAACCCCCUGGAUGCCCCCAGACCUCUCUAGGACGUCUCCAGAUCCUUCUUCAUGAUUCUAAGUGGGGAAAAGGGGGGUUUUGGGGGGUGUGAGAAAGGGGUUAGUGGGGCUUCUGUGGGGUGGAAAGGGAGUCAGGGGGUGGAGAGGGGGUUGUGUGGAAUCUGGGGGGGGGAAGGUGUGAGUGGGGCUUCUGUGGGGUGUAAAGGGCAUCAAGGGGCAGAAAGUGGAGGUUGGGGGGCCUGGGGGGGAAGAGGAGAACGAGACUUCUGUGGGGAAAAAGGGGGUCUCGGGGUGGAGAGAGAGGUUGGAAGGGAAAACUGGGGGUCGUGGGGGGGCUUCUAUGGGACAUAAGGGGGGUCCCGUUGGGGGAUACUGGGGGUCAAAAUGGGGGAGCGGACUCCAGAGGUCAGGGAGGAGGGCAUGGGGGGUACAGGGGACUCUAGGGGUCAGCAAAUGGGGUCAGCAGGGGGGAGGGAGAAGGAAGAGGGAAGACGGGGGACCCUGGGG
ensembl:lncRNA